AACAGUUUAACGGUAAUAUUUUACCGCCAUAUCUUCUCUCUCCCACGUUUCUCUCCACUUUAAUCUCCAACUUUCUCUUGCUCUUUAUACACCAAAAACGGUUUUCUCCACAAAUCUAAAACGUUCUCUCUGCAAAAAUCGACGAAUUUAUGUUCUCUAUCCUAUACAUCAAUAAAUCUUAAAUAUUACUUCAAUGGGGAUGAGUUCAAUCGAAGAACUGAUGGAAAACAUCAGCAAUUUCCUCUCUCAAUUGUUCAUAACCCAACCCAUCAUUCCUACAAAAGAAAAUCGUUCCUCUCUCCAAAACAGUUAAACCCAUCUCCCUAUUCUUCGAUUCUUCUUCUAAUUAGCCCAAAUCAAUGUACAAGUAGUGGAUCUCAAGCCCACCGGCGACAAAGGCAUGUAUGAAUAUAAAUUUGCAUAAUUUUUUUUAGAAUUCACCAUCGGCAAUGACAAGCAGGCGAGUCGAUCUACGGCGACGACAUUUGUUGAAGUGGAAAUGCAGGGGAUUGAAGUGGAAGUCUUCUCUAUUUCACGCUCUAUCCAUCGAAAAUAGAGACACAUAGAGACACAUUUUCCCAGUUGAUGCUACUAUAUAUGUGAGAAAUUGAUUUGAAGGCGGAUGAGGAGAAGAAUAUGGGGUUACUCUCAAAUUUGGCUUAUGCUUUGACAAUGGACUAUAUUUUUGCAAAGGAGCUCUUAUGGAAAUAAAGGCUGAGCAACCAAGAAAGCCUAGAGCAGAUCUAACUUUUUGAGAUCAAAUCUUGAAAGGCGUUGUGCUCUUCUUUUGCUAUGGGAAUUUUUUUAUGCUAAAGCUAAAGUAGAAAGCCUAGCUCAUACGGGUUUAGAAAAACCAUCUUUUCGGGAUAUUCUCAGCGCAUCAGUUGCAGAAAAUUCAAUUUUUAGGAUUUGUUUCAGCAUCAUUUCUAGCGCGUCAAGGUUGAUUCGUUUAGCGCGUAUCACCAACAUUUGUUGGUCGCAGAUGUAGAGAAAUCAAAAGGGAUGUGUCCAUAAGCCACCAGAGAGGAUUGGGGAAGAAAGAUGUGGAGAAAUCGAUAGGAUGUGUGAAAAAGUAACAUGAUGGACUGUUUCUCUUGGAUGGAAAUAUCAUUGACGGCCAUGUUUCAAAAAUCUAAACAUUCAUAGGACACUUAUUGAAAAUUUAGAAAGUGCUAAUGCACCCAUAUAUCAUCGAAGCUCUCAAGUGAGAAAAAUGUUUAGUAUGAAAUUUUGAAUAAUUUGUUAUAAUCUUUUAAAAAGAUAUAUAAAUAAAAAAAAUUGCAGUAUAAAUUUUUCA